UGGUUCACCCACAUGCCGAACGGCUCAGUAACACGUAGUUAAUCUACCCUCAGGUUGGGGAUAACCCCGGGAAACUGGGAUUAAUCCCCAAUAGGAAAUAGGUACUGGAAUGUCCUAUUUCCGAAAGCUCCGGCGCCUGAGGAUGAGACUGCGGUGGAUUAGGCUGUUGUUGGUGUAACGGACCAACAAACCUAUAAUCCAUACGGGCGUUGAGAGACGGAGCCCGGAGACGUGUUCUGAGACAAGAACACGGGCCCUACGGGGCGCAGCAGUCGCGAAACCUUUACAAUGCCUUCACGGGCGAUAAGGGGAUCCUGAGUGCUCUAGCAUUGCUAGAGCUUUUCCAGAGUGUAAAAAGCUCUGGGAAUAAGUGGUGGGUAAGACGGGUGCCAGCCGCCGCGGUAAUACCCGCGCCACGAGUGGUGACCACGUUUAUUGGGUCUAGAGCGUUCGUAGCCGGCCUAACAAAUUCUCGGUGAAAUCCUGUGUAAAACACAGGAAGUGCCGGGAAGACUGUUAGGCUAGGGACCGGGAGAGGCUGAAGGUACUCCAGGGGUAGGGGUUAAAUCCUGUAAUCCCUGGAGGACCACCGGUGGCGAAAGCGUUCAGCUGGAACGGCUCCGACGGUGAGGGACGAAAGCCAGGGGAGCGAACGGGAUUAGAUAAAGCCUUUCUUUUCGAAAAAGAAAGCCUUUAGGGAAAGAAAANAAAANUCUUUUCUUUUGAACCCAAGGGCCUUUUCUUUUGAAAAAGAAAAGGGGCUUCUAGAUACCCCGGUAGUCCUGGCCGUAAACGAUGCCCGCUUGGUGUAUCAUCUCCUUCGAGGAGGUGAUGUGCCGUAGCGUAGGUGUUAAGCGGGCCACCUGGGGAGUACGGUCGCAAGGCUGAAACUUAAGGGAAUUGGCGGGGGAGCACCUCAAGGGGUGGAGGCUGCGGUUCAAUUGGAUUCAACGCCAGACAUCUCACCAGGGGCGACAGCAGUAUGACGGUCACUCUGAAGGGGUUACCUGACGCGCUGAGAGGAGUUGCAUGGCCAUCGUCAGCUCGUGCCGUGAGGCGUGCGCUUAAGUGCGUCAACGAGCGAGACCCACGCCCUUAGUUGCUACGCUAUUCUUCGGAGUAGCGGCACUCUAAGGGGACCGCUGGCGAUAAGCCAGAGGAAGGAGUGGGCGACGGUAGGUCAGUAUGGCCCGAAUCCCCUGGGCUACACGCGGCCUACAAUGGCUAGGACAAUAGGUUGCAACACCGAAAGGUGGAGCUAAUCCCUGAAACCUAGCCUUAGUUCGGAUCGAGGGCUGAAACUCGCCCUCGUGAAGCCGGAAUCCCUAG
rnacentral:rRNA from 1 species